rnacentral:lncRNA from 1 species
AGUCUUCGGACGGCGGCCUGCGGAGGUCGGGUGAGAGGGUGAUCGCGCUGCUGAAAGCCGACUGCGCCUACGUGGACUGCGGGUUCGCUCCGGGCCGCUCCUCCCUGCUGUUCACGAGGAAACCUAAAGUCUGUGUUGACCCAUGAAACCUGAUCUCGUUCUUUCUCCCCUCCUGAGAGUUUACCAGCUGAGUUUCCUGACUUUUAUAUUCGUUAACACUAACAUAUAUAGAAAUAUAAAUAAAAUACAGUAUACCUGUAUAUGCAAGUUGCAGAACAACACAUAAAAUAACAUAUUCUGUGAGACAAUAAAAAUAUAAGUUCCAAAUAAUAGGUAUUUUCUGCGGGGACUUGUCUGUAUUACAUAUAUAUGUAUGUAUACAUAUUUGUAUGUGUAAAUAUACUAUAUAUACAUAUACGUGUAUGUAUGCAGAAAAUAUAUAUUUAUGGGUGCGAAUUUAUCCUUUUUUUUUUUUUGAGAUAGAGUCUCGCUUUGUCGCCCAGGCUGGAGUGCAGUGGCGCGAUCUCGGCUCACUGCAAGCUCGGCCUCCCGGGUUCACGCCAUUCUCCUGCCUCAGCCUCCCGAGUAGCUGGGACUACAGGUGCCCGCCACCAGGCCCGGCUAAUUUUUUGUAUUUUUAGUAGAGACGGGGUUUCACUGUGUUAGCCAGGAUGGUCUCGAUCUCCUGACCUCGUGAUCCGCCUGCCUUGGCCUCCCGAAGUGCUGGGAUUACAGGCGUGAGCCACCGCGCCCGGCCCGGGUGGGUAUUUAUCCACCUAAACAUAUAAAAUAUAUUUUUAGGCUGGGUGUAGUGGCUCACACUUGUAAUCUCAGCAGUUCAGGAGGCAAAGGCGGGAGAAUGGCUUGAAUCCAAGAGUUCAAGACCAGCCAGGGCAACAUAAGGAGACUGCGUCUCUAUUUUCUUUCUUUCUGUUUUUUUUUUUUUUUUUUUUUUUUUGAGACACUGUCUCCCUCUGUCACCCAGGCUGGAGUGCAGUGGCAUGAUCUUGGCUCACUGCAACAUCUGCCUCCCAGGUUCAAGCAAUUCUCCUAUCUGAGCCUCCGUAGUAGCUGGGACCACAGGUGCACACCGCUACACCUGGCUAAUGUUUUGUAUUUGAGUAGACAUGCAGUUUCACUGUGUUGCCCAGGCUGGUUGCGAACUCCUGAGCUCAGGCAGUCUACCUGCCUUGGCCUCCCAAAGUGCUGGGAUUACAGGUGUGAGCCACUGCGCCUGUGUCUCUAUUAAAUUAAAUAUAUAUAGAUACAUAUAUAUAUAUAUUUAUUUAUUUUAAUUUUAUUUUAUUUUGAGAUGGAGUCUCGGCUCACUGCAACCUCUGCCUCCUGGGUUCAAGCUGAUUGUCCUGCCUCAGCCUCCCGUGUAGAUGGAAUUACAGGUGCGGGCUACCACACCUGGCUGAUUUUUGUAUUUUUAGUAGAGGUGGGGUUUCACCAUGUUGGUCAGGCUGGUCUCGAACUCCUGACCUCAGGUGAUCCACCCACCUUGGCCUCCCAAAGGGCUGGGGUUACAGGCGUGAGCCACCGCACCCAGCUUAUUUAUUUAUUUAUUUAUUUAUUUAUUUAUUUAUUUAUUUAUUUAUUUUAGAUACAGUCUAGCGCUGUGGCCCAGGCUGGAGUGCAGUGGUGCUAUCUUGGCUCACUGCAACCUCUGCCUCCCAGGUUCAAGCAAUUCUCCUGCCUCAGCCUCUCAAGUAGCUGGAAUUACAGGCACUUGCCACCAUGCCCAGCUAAUUUUUGUAUUUUUAGUAAAGAUGGGGUUUUGCCAUGUCAACCAGGCUGGUCUCAAACUCCUGACCUCAAGUAAUCUGCCCGCCUCGGCCUCCCAAAGUGCUGGGAUUACAGCCAGGAGCCACCACACCUAGCCUUAAAUACAUAUAUAUGUAUGUAUACAUAUAUAUACACACACAUAUAUAUACCCAGAAACCGCAAUAAAUAUAUGUAACACCAGAAUAUAUAAGUAUAUAGUAUAUUGAGAUAUGUAUAUAUACACACACACACACAUGCCCCCACAGGAAAUACAUAGUAUUAUGUGGCGUUUAUGUUUUUAUUGUCUUCCAGUACGUUGUUUUAGGAACUCUCCAUCUUAGGGCAUGUAAAUUCCUCUUUUUUUCCCCUUCCUUACUCAAUCUGCAUAUUCAGAGCUGUUCGGGGAGAAGUUAGAAACCAAGGGGACAUAUUCUGGGGUCUCUAGCAAGGAUAGAUUUGUACUGAUCCCUAACCUAGUUAACCUCCUGCCCCUUUUUUCUAACCUUAAAGUGAUUAAGGGUACCUAACUCCCAAGCUGGUUGUGUAGGUCGUCCGUGAGUUAAGGUAUAUACAUCACACGAAGAGGGUUUUUGUUUUGUUUUGUUUUGAGACAGAGUCUCGCUCUGUCACCCAGGCUGGAGUGCAGUGGCUCAAUCUCGGCUCACUGCAACCUCCGCCUCUCGGGUUCAAGUGAUUCUCCUGCCUCAGCCUCCUGAGUAGCUGGGACUACAGGCAUGAGCCACCACGCCCAGCUAAUUUUUGUAUUUUUAGUAGAGACAGGGUUUCACCAUGUUGACCAGGCUGGUCUUGAACUCUUGACCUCAGGAGAUCUGCCCACCUUGGCCUCCCAAAGUGCUGGGAUUACAGGUGUGAGCCACCACACCCAGCCCUGAAGAGGGUUUUGAUCUAUUGUAGGUUUCCAGUAACUUUUAGUCCUUGUUGGUAUCAAUAUUUUGUCUUGCUAACGCUGAUGUUUUCAUUUUUGCCCUAGGAGGCUUGACUCAACCUGCCGGACACUAAAGGACAUCACUCUGAGCCUGAGGGAGGGGCUCUCCUUUGGUCUCCCUCUUUUGUCCAGCCUUGCCCCAGGAUAUUUUUCUAAGCUGAGUUAGCCACUAGGCACUCCACAUCGCUGCCCGCAUCACCACGCUGCGGCAUCUGCUGUUGCAUCUGCGAUCCACAAGGCCUACACCAUUCGCCAUCGCACCUGGCUGUUUGUUGCAGAUAUUUCUCAGGUCUCUUUUACGCCCUGCUACACUCCUCACCUGAUAUCGCAAGGACUCUUUUUUUUUUUUUUUUGAGACGGAGUCUCACUCUGUCACCCAGCCUGGAGUGCAGUGGCAGAAUUUCAGCUCACUGCAACCUCCACCUCCCGGGUUCAAGUGAGUCUCCUGCCUCAGCCUUCUGAGUAUCUGGAACUACAGGUGUGUGCCAUCAUGCCUGGCUAAUGUUUACAUUUUUAGUAUAGAUGGGGUUUCACCAUGUUGGUCAAGCUGGUCUUGAACUCCUGACCUCAGGUGAUUCACACACCUCGGCCUCUCAGAGUGCUGCGAUUACAGGUGCGAGCCACCGCACCCAGCCAAGGACUCUUAAGUGUAACUGAUCCACCCUACUUUUCUCCCUGGCAUGAACGACUGUGCCCAGCCUUGUUUUUGUGUUUUAGCCAUUCCUAUUUAUUUAUUUAUUUAUUUAUUUAUUUUGAGACAGAUUCUCACUCUGUCAUCCAGGCUGGAGUGCAGUGACAUGAUCUUCACUUACUGCAACCUCUGCCUCCCGGGUUCAAGUGAUUCUCCUGCCUUAGCCUCCAGAGUAGCUGGGACUACAGGUGCGCACCACCAUGCCCGACUAAUUUUUUUUUUUUUAGUUUUUAGUAGAGAUGGGGUUUCACCACUUUGGCCACGCUGGUCUGGAUCUCCUGACCUUCUGAUCCACCAGCUUUGGGCUCCCAAAAUCCUGGGAUUUUAGGCGUGGGCCACCGUGCCCGGCCACCAUCCCCUUUUAGUUGUUGGAACUCGUAAAACGGAAAUCUAGUUAAAUCUUCCUCCUAGUGUUGCACAUAAUUAGUGAGUUAACAUGUAUAACUCAUAUAGAUUAUAUAGAAGAGGGACCUGCUGUAUAAUAGUGUCAAAAUAACAGGUAUUAUUACUUCUCCUGCCUCAGCCUCCAGAGUAGCUGGGACUACAGGUGCCUGCCACCAUGCCUGGCUAAUUUUUUGUAUUUUUAAUAGAGAUAGGAUUUCACCGUGUUAGCCAGGAUGGUCUCGAUCUCCUGACAUCAUGAUCCGCCCACCUCGGCCUCCCAAAAUGCUGAGAUUACAGGCGUGAGCCACCGCGCCCAGCCUAGCCGGGCUAAUUUUUGUAUUUUUAGUAGAGACUAGUUUUCACCAUGUUGGCCAUGCUGGUUUCAAACUCCUGACCUCAGGUGAUCCACCCCCCUCAACCUCCCAAAGUUCUGGGAUUACAAGCAUGAGCUACAUCAGCCUUUUCCUUUCCUCCUUCCCUUCCCCCUUCCCUUCCCCCUUCCCUUUCCCCUUUCCUUUCCUUUCCUUUUCCUUUUCCUUUUUCCUUUCCUUUCUUUUUGAGAUGGAGUUUCGCUCUUGUCGCCCAGGCUGGAAUGCAAUGGCGCGGUCUCAGCUCACUGUGACCUCUGUCUCCCAGUUCAAGCAAUUCUCCUACCUCAGCCUCCCGAGUAGCUGGAAUUACAGGCGUCUGCCACCAUACCUGGCUAAAUUUUUUGUAUUUUUAGUAGAGACGGGGUUUCACCAUGUUGGCCAGGCUUGUCUCGAACUCCUGACUUCGGGUGAUUUGCCUGCUUCAGCCUCCCAAAGAGCUGGGAUUACAGAUGUGAGCCACCGCCUCCAGCCACCACACUUUUUUUUUUCUUUUGAGACAGAGUGUCACUCUGUCACCCAGGCUGGAGUGCAGUGGUGCGAUCUCAGCCCACUGCAACCUCUGCCUCCCAUGUUCAAGCGAUUCUCCUGCCUCAGCCUCCCGAGUAGCUGGGAUAACAGGGGUGUGCCAUCACGCCCAGCUAAUUUUCGUAAUUUUAGUAGAGAAGGCGUUCACCAUGUUGGCCAGGCUGGUCUGGAACUCCUGACCUCAGGUGAUCUGCCCGCCUUGGCCUACCAAAGUGCUGGGAUUACAGACGUGAGCCACCGCACCUGGCCUAAGCGCUUCUUUUUUUUUUUUUUUUUUUUUUGAGACUAAGUCUCACUCUGUUGUCCAGACUGGAGUGUGAUCAUAGCUCACUGUAGCCUCAAACUGCUGGGCACAAGUGAUCCUCCCACCUCAGCCUCCUGAGUAGCUGGGACUACAUGUGGAUGCCACUGCGCCUGUCUCAUUUUAAAAUUUUUUGUAGAGAUGGGGUCUUGCCAUGUUGCCCAGGCUGAUCUUGAACUCCUGGACUGAAGCAAUCCACCCGCUUCGGCCUCCCAAAGUGCUGGGAUUACAGGAAUUAGCUCCCUGCCCCGCCUCACACUUCUUUAACUCUCUUUCAUUAUACGAAGUUGAGAUAUUUUUCAGCGAGAGUGUGAAUCUUCUCCAACAACUAUUUGAGAUAAGCUAUACCCUCGUCUUGCCUCCUUUAUUCCCUUUUAUUCUCGUUUUUGCAUAUGUUGUCCCAUCUGCCUAGAAAGUCCCUCUGUCCCCAGUCCCCAGAGGAACAUAUGUUUGAUACUAAUUAUAAGACAGUGAAUAACAUACUUAACCUCUAAUCUGUAAAAUGGAAGUACUAAUUUUAUCUGCUUUGUAGUCGUGUUGCAAACAGUAAAUGAGUUAACAUAUCUAAAUCAUUUAGGAGAGGGACCUGGGACAUAGUACCUCUCAACGGUUACCUGCUAUUAAUAUCAACUCUAGGACAGGCAUGGUGGCUCAUACCUGUAAUGCCAGCACUUUGGGAGGCCAAGGCAGGAGGAUUGCUUGAGGCCAGGAGUUCGAGACCCACCUGGGCAAUAUAGCAAGACUUUGUCUCUACGAAGUAUUUAAAAACUAGCCGGGUACUGAGCUAUGAUUGCUCCAGUGCACUCCAGCCUGGGCAACAGAGUGAGACCCUGUCUCUAAAACAUAAAAAUUUUAAAAACCCUACUCACAUUACUUUUUUUUUUCUUUUUGCGACGGAGUCUUGAUCUGUCACCCUAGGCUGGACUGCAGUGGUGCAAUCUCGGCUCACUGCAACCUCUGCCUCCCAGGUUCAAGAGAUUCUCCUGCCUCAGCCUCCCAAGUAGCUGGGAUUAAAGGCACCCGCCACCAUGCCCAGCUAAUUUUUAUAUAUUUUUAGUAGAGACGGGGUUUCACCACAUUGGCCAGGCUGGUCUGGAACUCCUGAGUUCAGGUGAUCACCCGCCUUGGUCUCCCAAAGUGCUGGGAUUACAGGCAUGAGCCACCGUGCAUGGCCUCCUACUCUUAUUACUCUUAUUGACAAUCCUUCUUUGCUCCUAGGAGGCUAACUCAUCCUGCCAACCCCGAUUGACGUCACUACACCAGUGAUAGCGUCUCAUCAUCGAUCUUUCACCAUUAGAAUCUCCCUAAACAGAAAGAUUUCUUCUGAGAAUUUAUAAUUUUCUCUUUCCACCAACUCAUCAAGGUGAGUUCGACAUUUUGCUCUCCUUCUCUCCUGUUCUUCCUCAGACCUCCUGCUUGAAGCCUGAAGUGUUCCAAGCAUAGAGAUGAUGGACGUGGUAUGGGACAAUCAGUGCACCCGCAGGAGGGGACGGCGGGAACCAAGAUUGGAAGGAACAUGUAGGUAUACUCACAGGUCCAGGGAGGGGUCUCACCAAAUGCCAUGAAGGGCCAUAGGGGAGUGCCAGGUUUGGUCAGGUGGCAGAAGCCUGAGCCAGAGCCUGCACUGGGGUUUCUUUUCUAUAUUUAUUUAUUUAUUUAUUUAUUUAUAUUUAUCUUUUUGAAAUGGAGUUUCACUUUGUUGCCCAGGCUGGAGUGAAGUGGUGCGAUCUCUGUUCACUGCAACCGCCACCUCCCAGGUUCACGCCAUUCUCCUGCCUCAGCCUCCCGAGUAGCUGGGACUACAGGCGCCCGACACCACGCCUGGCUAAUUUUUUUUUUUUUUGUAUUUUUAGUAGAGACAGGGUUUCACCAUGUUGGCCAGGUUCAUCUUGAACUCCUGAUCUUAGGUGAUACACCCACCUUGGCCUCCCAAAGUGCUGGGACUAAAGACAUCCUCCUGGUUGAGCUCUUUGGUGUCCUGAGGAUUGGCUACCCCUGGGAGGGGGAGUUUCUUUCAGGCCAGCAAGCUUUGUAAGAUGUCAAAGCAUCAUAAAUACAGAAAAUUUUAAAAACGUAAUACAUAUAGCUUCUGUUCCUUCCACCCAGAACACUCUUCUGACCCUGGACCCCGUCCCUGCUUCACCUGACUUUCUCUUUUUUUUUUUUUUGAGAUGGAGUCUCACCCUGUCUCCCAGGCUGGAGUGCAAGGGUGCGAUCUCGGCUCACUGCAACCUUCGCCUCCCGGGUUCAAACAAUUCUCCUUCCUCAGCCUCCUGAGUAGCUGGGAUUACAGGCAUGCACCACCACGCCUGGCUAAUUUUUUUGUAUUUAGUAGAGAUGGGGUUUCACCAUGUUGGUCAGGCUGUUCUCAAACUCCUGACCUCGUGAUCUGCCCACCUUGGCCUCCCAAAGUGCUGGGAUUACAGGUGUGAGCUACCGCGCCCAGCCUCUUCACCUGACUUUCUGAUACUCAUCCCUCAAGUGUCUGAUGAAAUAUGGCUUGCUGUGGCUGGGCGCAGGAGGCGCCAAUGUGGCUUGAACCCGGGAGGUGGAGGCUGCAGCGAGCCAAGAUCACCUCACUGCACUCCAGCCUGGGCGACAGAGCAAGACUCUGUCUCAAAAGAUAUAUAUAUAGGGCCAGGCGCAGUGGCUCACGCCUGUAAUCCCAGCACUUUGGGAGGUCAAGGUGGGCAGAUCACCUGAGAUCGGG